UUAUGUGUCAAAAAUGCCAAAACUAGUUUCGUUGCUAAAGACGAAAGCAUUCGUUGCUAUAGGUUUCUCUUACUCUAUUCUUCUCUCACAGCCCCUUCGUCCCUCACCUUGUCGCAUUGAGCUUCACCCAUCUCGCCGUUGCCAUCUCCGAUCGGAAAGCUCUCUCUCUCUCUCUCUCUCUCUCUCUCUCUCUCUCUCUCUCUCUCUCUCUCUCUCUCUCUCUCUCUCUCUCUCGUCACCUUUUACCGCCUCAGCUCCCUCGUCUCUCUAAUUUCACAGUGAGUCCAUUGCAAGGCAUCUUUUGGGAGAAGCACGUCCCCGUGUUUUUAAAUCAUAGUCCAUAAAUUAAUCAUCUUCAUCAUCAUUAUUGCCAUGUUGUGCUUGUCAACUUGCACUAGAAUGAGUCAGCAAACUCCAUCAGAGUUGAUUAUGCAGCCUCAUUGUCUUUUUCUCCGAAGUUGAAAUGCUUUGCUUGCAACUGAGUUUUGCACUGCAUCAAUUCUAAAUUUACACUCAAGUUCCUAGUUUCGGAUGAAGCAAAUAGAGUUCUGGAUGUUGGGUUUGAAGAGUUCUGCAACAAUGACAAGUGAAUUGGAAGGACUGCUUAAACCUUCUGCAAAUAAGGCAUACUUCUACAAGGCAUAUGAUGGCUUUAAGACGGUUGCCACUCUAAAACAGCAGUAUGUUUUUAUUCCCAAUAAUGUGAAGGAUGUUUAUGUAAAUGCACAUUUUGUCUAAAAUGAAAGAUAUGGGUGUUCGAUCCACCAUCAUAUUUGUCUCCACCUGCAGGUAUUAUUUCCUGGAACAAUAAUGUCUAAAUUUUGAAACUGUUUUCUGAUGUUUGUGUUGUAGUUUAUUUAUUGUCUUUCAGCUGUAGCAUUUGCGUUAUUCCUUGGUUUGUGGAACAUGUUAUUCAGUUAUUGUUAGCUAUUAUUUUGGAUGGCUUAACCCAUUGAUGUUUCUUGUUUUCAAUCCUUGUUCUUGUUGGCAUCUUGUCCCUCUCUCCCUCUACACCUCUCCCCACUUGCACUUAUAAUCACAAUAAACAUUUGAUUGUUGUGAACCUUUCAAUAACAAUAUAUGGGACAAAAUUGGCAAAUGCCCUUUUCCGGCAAAAAGAGCAGCAUAAUAUGCCCUCUUUCUCAAACUAAUUAGGGAAAUGUUCUUCUUUUAAAACUCGACUUUCUCAAAAUCGAGUUAAGCCCUAUAGUAGCGUUUUUAAGGAGCCUAUAGUGAUGUUUUAAGGACUUAUAGUGGCGUUUUGAAACUCGAGCUCCUUGAACUCAAGUUAUAGGAAAAAAAAAAGAAAAAAAUUGCAUGUAACUCGAGUUCAUGGAGCUCGAGUUCUAAAACGUCAUUAUAAGUGCUUAAAACAUCACUAUAGACUCCUUAAAACGCCACUAU